UGAACUCAUAAAAGAAGCUUGGGCUUGCCCCUCACCACCCACGCUGUCUUGUAUAUUCUGGCAGACCGACGCGCAGGCUAAACUGCAUGGAUGAUAUCUUUAAUUUGGGGAGCACAGAACUUUAGCUUUGUGGUCAAUGGAUUGACCAGUCGACACCAAACAGAAGAAGAGAGGACAGGAACAGUGCAGGAGCUGGCUGAGGGAUGUUAAACACACAAGGAGCUGAGUGAAGGAGACAUCGGCCAAAUUGAAGAAAACCAACACUCGGCAACCCGUGACUCUGUGUGUGCUUCAGCAUCAGUACAGGAAUGGUGGGGUGAAAAAGAAAGCGCCAAUGGUCUAUAGAAGUUACAGGGAAGGAGGCCUUAUACAAGUGCUGCUGUAUAAGCUCUACACCUGUUAAGAGUGCCCACACAAAGAUGUUGUUUUGACUUUACCUUGAAAAAUUAUGUUCAGUUUAAUGUUAAUGUGACCUGAAAAGAACACCACUGCCAGAGAAGCGCGACCAACCGUAGAAUUUAAGG